rnacentral:lncRNA from 1 species
GCAAAUUUGACAUCGUCAAAUGUACUGAUUGUUCAGUAAACAUUGCAUGGAUAACUGAUGUUCCACACGAGUUCUUAUCGUAUGAGCUUGAUUAUCGACUUCAUGGAACAGAUAAACGCAUCAUAGAUACCAAGAGAAACUGGUCUGUCAAGAAAUUCUCUUCUGAAGAUGCAUUGACAGAGGAAAAUGGACGAAGCAUGUAUAAACUUCAAAAUCUGCUACCUGAAACAUAUUAUGACUUUCGGCUGCGUUCUGUAAAGAAUCAUGUAAAAA